rnacentral:rRNA from 1 species
AUACGAAAGGUGCAAGCGUUGUUCGGAUUUACUGGGCGUAAAGAGAUCGUAGGUGGUUUAUUAAGUCGGAUGUGAAAUCCCGGGGCUCAACCUCGGAACUGCAUUCGAUACUGGUAGACUAGAGUUUGGGAGGGGUAAGCGGAAUUCCGUGUGUAGCAGUGAAAUGCGUAGAUAUACGGAGGAACACCUGAGGCGAAGGCGGCUUACUGGACCAAUACUGACACUGAGGAUCGAAAGCGUGGGUAGCAAACAGGAUUAGAAACCCCGGUAGUCC